rnacentral:misc_RNA from 1 species
UACCCUUGACAUGUCCUGGAGCCCGGCUUUCACCGGGCUCCAGGACAUGUCAAGGGUAGGUAAGGUUUUUCGCGUUGCAUCGAAUUAAUCCACAUAAUCCACCGCUUGUGCGGGUCCCCGUCAAUUCCUUUGAGUUUUAACCUUGCGGCCGUACUCCCCAGGCGGUCGACUUCACGCGUUAGCUUCGUUACUGAGAGUGUCAAACCCCCAACAACCAGUCGACAUCGUUUAGGGCGUGGACUAC